UCAAGUGUUUUCCUUGAGAUGACCCACGGAACUCAACCCUUUCUCCAUGUUUAUUCCUUUACUAGAUCACUUGCUGUUAGGCAUAAAGUAAUCCUAAACUGAUAUGAGAUUUAAAACAAAAAACUUAAAAAGUGUAAGAUUCAAAUCAAUUUUAAAAAGUCAGGGUACACAUAAGAGAAAUGAAUCCUCUGUGUGAUACUUCUGCAAUUUUCCAGACGCUGGAUGUUUUCUUCUGACUGUUGCGGGAAACUAACAAAAAGGAGAAUAUGAGAGGCUGUGGUCUUCACAUAUGUAGUUUUCUGACUGACUUCAAACCUGGACUUGUGCUGUGUACUCCUUCUCAGAUACGUAUUCCUUAGCUUGUGGAAAUGGAAAAUCAACUAAUGAGAGAUGGAUUCUCACUCUGUCACCCAGGCUGGAGUGUAAUGG